AGGAACACUGCAACAUGUGUGCAUUGGAAAAACUAGAGGAGGGGCAGAGAGUACAACAACAAGGAAUUUAUGGUUCUACCAGACCUGCUCAGUUUCUCCAGCUUUUCUGAAGAAGGGUCUAGGCCUGAAACAUCAGCUUUCCCGAUCCUCUGAUGCUGCCUGACCGGCUGUGUUCCUCCAACUCCACACCGUGUUAUCUCGGGCUCCAGCACCUGCAGUCCCUACUAUCUCCUCCUAUAGAUUAGUUUGUUAGAGCAAUGAGGAACAAAGCAGGAAGAUCCCAGCAGAACCAACAGCAAAUUCAACAAGACUUUUAGACAAGCUUUGUUGGAUGGUAUUGCCUUAGUGCACAUGACAAAGUUGAGCCCUUCUGAAGAUUGGAUGGCUUUUUUGCAUUUGGAUAGGCGAUAUGAACAUAUCGGCAUCAUGGCAAUCAAAUAUUCCACGUACAGUCCCUGUGCUGGUUCUCUCGAAGAGCAAUCAAUCAGUCCCAUUGUCAUAUGUUCAUUGGUAAGAAUUCUAUCAGAACUGCGUAAUUCUCUCUUAUUCCUUAUUUUAAAUAAGUUUCAAAACAGAUCAGAACUAUGGCUAUAGCUGGUGAUGGGAAAGUUCCUGAAUGUCUCAGACUUGAACCGAAGAUCCCCCUUCUAAUUCCACACAGUCAUGCUAAAGGAAAGUAUAAUGGGGCUCAUUGGUUUAAGAUGAGAGUAACACAAAGGCCCUUUGUGAUGAUCAUUAACUGAAUUAGGUUUCUGACUGAGUUGGGAGAUGUGCGAUUACAUAACACUCAGAAAGUGACAGACAUUUGUGUAGUUUUCACGUCAUUACCUCUGGUAUGAGGGCUAAUCUAUUUAAAUAGGCUUCUGAUUAAUAUUGUGUGUCUUAUUAUUGCAGAAGCUCCUGGGAGAACGCAGGAUGUAAAUGCUGAUUGUAUCAAGUAGCUUUUCUCUUUUACUUUUGGGUGGUUUUAUUCGCUGCUAAAAAGGAGCUUUAGGGGCAAGUUUACUCACACUAUUUAUUUGUUAUUGGUGCAACUCCUGAUUUAAGAACAUCUAUUUAAAACAAUUUAGCUCAAAGGAUACUAAGAGAAGGUAGCUCAAAUGUUAAUUUGUGUAGUAAAAUUGCACUUGGAUGUACUUCAGCAAUGUUAUCUUCAAAGGAUCCCUCUUGAAGUCCAUCCAUUCCCUAAUUUUCAUGUCAUUGUGUUCUUUUCAUUUUUCAGAUCGUGAAUCUUAUUUUUCUAAGGGUGUCCCAAGCUUUUUCUAUGUUUAGUUUCCUUUAACAGCAACUCUUUUCUGCAAUGACCUGUUCCCUUGGCUCCCAUAAGUCCUGAUCACGUCUAAAGUGCGGAAACAUCUAGGGUCUAAUUAGCUCAGAGAUCUCCAAGCACACGGCCAAAAGAAAGAAAAAGAUACAUUGAAUGUAAUGGGUUCAUUGAAUAAAUACACAUGAUCUGCAAAGCAAUUCUUUUGUUUCUGCACAUGACUGGAUCAGGAAACCUGGUUUGUAGUUCCUCUGGAUUUAAUAACUGAGCUAUUUAAGUAAAUUUGGCUUGCAUGUUAAGGGUCAUUAAAUUAUUUUGAGAUACAUAUGUUUAAAUAACUAACCAUAUUUGAAUCUAACAACAUCUUGUUUAUAAAUAUGUAUAAAUUGUCAAUUCCUUCUUUAAAGCACACU